rnacentral:rRNA from 1 species
CGGCUACCUUGUUACGACUUAGCGCCAAUCAUGGAAUUCACCGUGGCCUCUUUACAGGGGAUUCGGGUGCCUCCCACUUUCAGCGCUUGACGGGCGGUGUGUGCAAGGCCCGGGAACGUAUUCACGGCACCGUAGCUGAUGUGCCAUUACUAGCGAUUCCAGCUUCACGAGGACGAGUUGCAGCCCUCGAUCCGAACUGAGCAUAUUUUUUAAGGAUUUGCUCCGCCUUACGGCUUGGCAUCCCGUUGUAAUAUGCAUUGUAACACGUGUGUAGCCCAGGAUAUAAGGGCCAUGCGGACUUGACGUCGUCCCCACCUUCCUCCCACUUAACGCGGGCAGUCUCUUUAGAGUGCCCCCGACUUUAACAUCGAGGUUGCAACUAAAGACGAGGGUUGCGCUCGUUCUCCCACUUAAGGGAACACCUCACGGCACGAGCUGACGACAGCCAUGCAGCACCUGUGCUGGCAACUGACUGGUUACAGUUCACCCACCUUUUCAGGCGAUUACUACCAGCAUGUCAAACCCUGGUAAGGUUCCUUGCGUAGCAUCGAAUUAAACCACGUGUUCCACCGCUUGUGCGGGCCCCCGCCAAUUCCUUUGAGUUUUAGCCUUGCGGCCGUAGUCCCCAGGUGGAGCACUUAACGAGUUAUCUUCGGCACCCAUCCUUACGGACAAACACCUAGUGCUCAUCGUUUACGGCUAGGACUACCAGAGUAUCUAAUUCUGUUUGCUCCCCUAGCUUUCGUUCCU